UACGUAGGGAGCAAGCGUUGUCCGGAAUCAUUGGGCGUAAAGCGCGUGUAGGCGGCUCGAUAAGUCUGCUGUGAAAGUCCAGGCUCAACCCUGGGAUGCCGGUGGAUACUGUCGAGCUCGAGUACGGGAGAGGAAAGUGGAAUUCCUGGUGUAGCGGUGAAAUGCGUAGAUAUCGGGAGGAACACCGGUGGCGAAGGCGGUUCUCUGGGCCUUACCUGACGCUGAGGAGCGAAAGCGUGGGGAGCGAACAGG
rnacentral:rRNA from 1 species